GGGAUCAGGGGCUGGGGUUGUGGGUUGGGGAGAAGGCAGGGGUAUCCUUUAUCUCUGACCUCCUUCAUUCAGCUGAGCCUGGCCCCCCUUUUAUUUUUCUCCAGUUUCUUUUUAAUGCCUCCUCGGUCUCUACCUCCGUCUCUCUUUCCCUGGGUCUCUCUCCCCUCCAGUCUCAGUCUCUCCCCAUCUGUCUCUCUCUUUGGACCUCUCUCUUUCCUUUUGCACCUGCCUUUCUGUCUCCAGGAACCCAAUGCCACUCAGACCCCUCUCCCCUAAUUUUCUUUCAUUCUCCCCCCUCUCUCUUUCUCUCUCUCUCUCUCUCUCUCUCUCUCUCUCGAAUUCUUCUCUAAGACCUUUGCCCCAUCCCCAAUUUCUCUCCCCCUUUUAUUUCUUUCCUUCUCUCCCCCAUCCUCUCAGUCUCUGUCUGUCUCUCCCCAUCUGUCUUUCCUCCCCCUCUUUGGAUGACUCUCUGUCUCUUCUUUCCUUCUGUUACCCAGAUCCCGACCCCCCCAUCCUCUCCCUCGCCCCAAUCUUUCCCCAUCCCCCAUCUCUCCCCCAGCCUCUGGGUUUCUGUCUCUGUCUCUGUCCCCUUUUCUCUCUGGAUAUUUCUCUCUGUGUGUGUCUCUCUCUCCAACUUCCUUCUGCUACCAGCCGCUGCCUCCCCCAAAUUUCUCCCUCCCCCAUUUCUGUUUCUCCGACUCUGGAUCUCGGUCUUUCCGCCUCUCCUGGCUCUGUCUCUCUCCCUCCCUCUCUGGGUCUCUCUCUUUUUCCCCAGCUUCCUUCUGCCACCCAGACCCUUCCCCCCCAUCACUACCCUUCCCCCCAUCCAUCUCCUCUCCGUGGCUCCCCCAUUCUCAGCGGCUCCCCUCCCCCUCCCUCCUCCCUCCCUCUCUCGUCCUCCAGCUCCGCACUUUACCCAGCGACACGAGAACCAAAUUGUCUCCUCACCUUUUUUUUUCCCCAUCCCGACCCCCUCUACCUCGGGGCCCAAGCUCAGAGCUGCCCCUCAGCCUCCUCUCCCACCUCGACAGCCCCAUUCCCCGUAAGCCUCCUCAUCUCCACCCCCCAACCAGGUCGGACGCCUGGGUCCCUCGCUGCUGGGGGAGGGGGAGCAGUGAGAAUUGGGAGCCACGAGGGUUUUUCUGGGGGGGUGCCGACAGGGGGCUCAGCGUCCCCUCCCCAGUGCAUCGGAGAGUUGACCUAUCGUUAAGAGCUAAAGAGAGAUUGAGAGAUUUAUUUUUCCCAAGUAGAGGACAAAACAGGUGAAGAGCUGGCGCCCAUGGCCGCCCUCUGACCCCCUCCCCGGCCGCAGCCUCCUCCUCGCCGCCCCCUCCCCAGCC